rnacentral:rRNA from 1 species
AACGAACGCUGGCGGCGUGCUUAACACAUGCAAGUCGAACGCGAAAGGGACUUCGGUCCUGAGUAAAGUGGCGCACGGGUGAGUAACGCGUGGAUAAUCUGCCCAAUGGACUGGGAUAACAUCUCGAAAGGGGGGCUAAUACCGGAUAAGACCACGGGAUCCUUGGAUUCUGCGGUAAAAGGUGGGGACCUUCGGGCCUACCGUCAUCAGAUGAGUCGGCGUACCAUUAGCUAGUUGGUAGGGUAAAGGCCUACCAAGGCGACGAUGGUUAGCUGGUCAGAGAGGAUGAUCAGCCACACUGGAACUGAGACACGGUCCAGACUCCUACGGGAGGCAGCAGUGGGGAAUUUUGCGCAAUGGGGGAAACCCUGACGCAGCAACGCCGCGUGAGUGAUGAAGGCCCUUGGGUCGUAAAGCUCUGACAGAGGGAAAGAAAUGCAGAGUGGCUAAUAUCCACCUUGCUUGACGGUACCCUCAAAGGAAGCACCGGCUAACUCCGUGCCAGCAGCCGCGGUAACAC